GACGAACGCUGGCGGCGUGCUUAACACAUGCAAGUCGAACGGAAAGGCCCUGCUUUUGUGGGGUGCUCGAGUGGCGAACGGGUGAGUAACACGUGAGUAACCUGCCCUUGACUUUGGGAUAACUUCAGGAAACUGGGGCUAAUACCGGAUAGGAGCUCCUGCUGCAUGGUGGGGGUUGGAAAGUUUCGGCGGUUGGGGAUGGACUCGCGGCUUAUCAGCUUGUUGGUGGGGUAGUGGCUUACCAAGGCUUCGACGGGUAGCCGGCCUGAGAGGGUGACCGGCCACAUUGGGACUGAGAUACGGCCCAGACUCCUACGGGAGGCAGCAGUGGGGAAUAUUGCACAAUGGGCGGAAGCCGUAUGCAGCAACGCCGCGUGCGGGAUGACGGCCUUCGGGUUGUAAACCGCUUUCGCCUGUGACGAAGCGUGAGUGACGGUAAUGGGUAAAGAAGCACCGGCUAACUACGUG
rnacentral:rRNA from 1 species